CGCGGGUAGCAAUACCUGGCGGCGACCGACAAACGGGUGCGGAACACGUACGCAACCUUCCCAAAACUGGUGAACAGCCCUCCGAAAGGAGGAUUAAUACACCGUAAGAUAAUGAAGAGGCAUCUCUUUAUUAUUAUAGCUCCGGCGGUUUUGGAUGGGCGUGCGGCUGAUUAGGUAGUUGGCGGGGUAACGGCCCACCAAGCCUACGAUCAGUAACUGGUGUGAGAGCACGACCAGUCACACGGGCACUGAGACACGGGCCCGACUCCUACGGGAGGCAGCAGUAAGGAAUAUUGGUCAAUGGACGCAAGUCUGAACCAGCCAUGCCGCGUGAAGGAUGAAGGUCCUCUGGAUUGUAAACUUCUUUUAUCUGGGACGAAAAAAGGGCAUUCUUGCUCACUUGACGGUACCAGAGGAAUAAGCACCGGUUAACUCCGUGCCAGCAGCCGCGGUAAUACGGAGGGUGCGAGCGUUAUCCGGAUUUACUGGGUUUAAAGGGUGCGU
rnacentral:rRNA from 1 species